UACGAAGGGUGCAAACGUUGCUCGGAAUCAUUGGGCGUAAAGCGCACGUAGGCGGCUACUCAAGUCGGGGGUGAAAGCCCGGGGCUCAACCCCGGAACUGCCUUCGAAACUAGGUAGCUAGAAUCUUGGAGAGGCGAGUGGAAUUCCUGGUGUAGCGGUGAAAUGCGCAGAUAUCAGGAGGAACACCAAUGGCGAAGGCAGCUCGCUGGGACGGUACUGACGCUGAGGCGCGAAAGCGUGGGGAGCAAACAGG
rnacentral:rRNA from 1 species